rnacentral:lncRNA from 1 species
UUGAUUUCAUGUCAUCCUUUUUUAUCCAUAUCUUUUUUGGUUAAAAGAUAUUCAAUUUAAAGCAUGAAAAAAAAUGUUUUACUGAGCUAAAGGCCCAGUAAUUUUUUUAUUUUUUUUCCGUCUGGGAAUUAUAUUAGAAUGUUAAAGAGUUUUUCAUUACAACGUAACACAACCUUGAUAAAAAGCUAAUGCCGGAAGAAAAAGAAGAAAUCUCCGGAAGCUAAAGCCCAAAAAAGGGAAACCAAACCCAAAAAAGGGAAACCUAAGCUGGCAGGUAGCGAACCUCCAGAUACGAUGAUUAAACAACGUGAUACAGAAAAAAACAAAAACCUAAGGAAACAAUUCACCGAGAAAUGAGCAAAACCCAAAGCACAAAAACUGCCCACUAAAACGGAGUGAAACCCACAAAGCUUCCCAUAGAACAUGUAAACGCCGGAGAGAACCCAAACAGACCGGAAGGGCUAUAUACAUAGAUAGCCCACCGCAUACAAACCAUCACCAACACCGGCAGGAGCGAAAGCAGGACCCAAACGAUAACAUAGAAACAGAAGCCACCAUUAUCAGGACACACAAAGAACAGCCGAGGAAAGCGAGCAAACACUAAGCACAAGGUAAAAAACCUUGAGAUUCGACCAGAGACAAGCCAAGGAAAACAAACACCUCUUACACACGGACCCUCGUCGACCCAGCUUCAACCAUCUACAGACAUAAAACUGGUAACCUCCUCGCAAGAGAAAAGAUGAAAGUCGAAUCCACUGCUUGCCUAGAACCUAAAUCCACAACUCAAAAGAGCCACAAAAGAAGGCUAGCAGAUGACGAGCAACAAACUACCAUCCGAAUGACCAGCAAUUGGAACGAAACCUAGCCUGCCAAGCAAAUACGACAAAUCCAGCAGACCCAACAAAGCAGAUGUACUAAAGACAAACUCAACCCGCAUACUUCUCAAAGCAAACUAAAACCAUCGGUUAAAGCCACACAAACACCAACACUAACAAAUCCUUGUCGAGAAACACCAACCAAAGAAGAGAGAGAUGAGAGAUAUAAAUUACCAGACCAAGAAACGAAACAUGUCCGAUCUGAGCCACUACCUUGACAAACCCGCAGACCAGACGGAUCAGUCACUAAUCACAACCAAGCCUCACCGACGAUGGCUUCCCCUCCUUCAAACGCUCUUCUCUUCAAAGAGGAAUAUGACGACAAGGCCACAACAACACCAAAAUCAACAGAUCUAAGCCAAGAAAUCCAAAGAAAACGCGGGAGAUGAAGCAAAGAACACGAGAAAGGAGGCCACGAAACCUCCGCCGCCAACCAUCCACCGAUUCUUCACCAACCAAACAUCCACCUUCGCAUUUACCUUUAAAUCACUGGAGAAAGCUAGCUAAAAUCAAAACUAAGAAGCAAGACAAAGAUCUAAGACCCUCCCACAGCUCCGGCGAGAAGCCCGGCCACCGGGGAGGGCAAAUCGGAAAAAUCGAAGCUUGGGCGGCUGGAUGCUAGGGUUUUCGUCGAGAGAGCCUUUUUUGACUUGGUGUCUCUAAAAAAGGGGCAGUAUUGGAAGCCCAAAAUACAAAAAUAUACUCCAUAGUUAAAAGGGAACCAGUACUUGAACCAAAAGUUGUAAUUGAACCAGAAAAUCGGUUUUUG